GGAAUACACUGUACCUAAGAGCUUCCCUGUUUGUGACGAUCGACAUUCAGAACUCAUUCCCUGUUUAGAUAGGAAUCUUAUAUAUCAGAUGAGACUGAAGCUGGAUCUCUCCUUGAUGGAACACUAUGAACGACAUUGCCCCCCUCCAGAAAGGCGAUACAAUUGCUUGAUUCCUCCUCCACCAGGGUACAAGAUCCCAAUUAAGU
rnacentral:misc_RNA from 1 species